rnacentral:rRNA from 1 species
UACAGAGGGGGCAAGCGUUGUUCGGAAUUACUGGGCGUAAAGGGCGCGUAGGCGGCCUUCUAAGUCGAACGUGAAAUCCCCGGGCUCAACCCGGGAACUGCGUCCGAGACUGAAAGGCUAGAAUCCGGGAGAGGGAUGUGGAAUUCCAGGUGUAGCGGUGAAAUGCGUAGAUAUCUGGAGGAACAUCGGUGGCGAAGGCGGCAUCCUGGACCGGUAUUGACGCUGAGGCGCGAAAGCCAGGGGAGCAAACGGG